GAUGAACGCUGGCGGCGUGCCUAAUACAUGCGAGUCGAGCGAACAGACGAGGAGCUUGCUCCUCUGACGUUAGCGGCGGACGGGUGAGUAACACGUGGAUAACCUACCUAUAAGACUGGGAUAACUUCGGGAAACCGGAGCUAAUACCGGAUAAUAUAUUGAACCGCAUGGUUCAAUAGUGAAAGACGGUUUUGCUGUCACUUAUAGAUGGAUCCGCGCCGCAUUAGCUAGUUGGUAAGGUAACGGCUUACCAAGGCGACGAUGCGUAGCCGACCUGAGAGGGUGAUCGGCCACACUGGAACUGAGACACGGUCCAGACUCCUACGGGAGGCAGCAGUAGGGAAUCUUCCGCAAUGGGCGAAAGCCUGACGGAGCAACGCCGCGUGAGUGAUGAAGGUCUUCGGAUCGUAAAACUCUGUUAUUAGGGAAGAACAAAUGUGUAAGUAACUAUGCACGUCUUGACGGUACCUAAUCAGAAAGCCUCGGCUAACUACGUG
rnacentral:rRNA from 1 species